rnacentral:rRNA from 1 species
GAUGAACGCUGGCGGCGUGCCUAAUACAUGCAAGUCGAGCGAGCAGAUGAGGAGCUUGCUCCUCUGACGUUAGCGGCGGACGGGUGAGUAACACGUGGAUAACCUACCUAUAAGACUGGGAUAACUUCGGGAAACCGGAGCUAAUACCGGAUAAUAUAUUGAACCGCAUGGUUCAAUAGUGAAAGACGGUUUUGCUGUCACUUAUAGAUGGAUCCGCGCCGCAUUAGCUAGUUGGUAAGGUAACGGCUUACCAAGGCGACGAUGCGUAGCCGACCUGAGAGGGUGAUCGGCCACACUGGAACUGAGACACGGUCCAGACUCCUACGGGAGGCAGCAGUAGGGAAUCUUCCGCAAUGGGCGAAAGCCUGACGGAGCAACGCCGCGUGAGUGAUGAAGGUCUUCGGAUCGUAAAACUCUGUUAUUAGGGAAGAACAAAUGUGUAAGUAACUAUGCACGUCUUGACGGUACCUAAUCAGAAAGCCACGGCUAACUACGUG